GGCCUGAUGGCUUAGUGGUUAGAGCACUAGUCAUAUAAGCUGGAGGUCCUGGGUUUGAAUCCUGGUCAGGUCA